rnacentral:lncRNA from 1 species
AUUUGCGAAAAAAAAUUAACAAUUCUUCCUUUAAACUUGUGUUCUGGAGAUAGUUAUUGAGAAGGGUGAUUGAGACAAAAAGAAACAAAAAAGAGACAAAAUCUUUGUCAAAUUGCAUUAAGUGUUACAGGCGAAAUAAAGGGAUGUAAAGGGAUAUGAAAGAUGGGUGUGGGAGGUAUUGUAAUUUAAAAGUAAGGAUUCUGGGAAAGCAUCACUGAAAAAGUGGCAUUUGAGGAAAUUCCUAAAAUACCUAUGGAACAAGUACCUAAAGAAAGCAUAUUUUAAGAAAACUAUCAGUAAGAGAGUAGAUCUUAAAAGUUCCCAUCACAUGAAAAAAACUGUAUAUCCUUUCAACAGUCUUGUGAUAUAGGCUUUUUCUACUCCCAAUUUUAUAGAGAAAUUGAUUAAGUUGGAGAGGCUAAAUACGUGCUCAAGCAUACAUUGUAAGUAAGAUCUAGGGUUUGAAUCCCUACCUGAUGACCUCAGAACACAAGUCCUCCAAACCAUUCCCACCAUGUGCUGCCAUAGACUGCAGUGGGUGGCGGCAGUGGACAGUGUGUGAAGCAAUCCCCAGCACACUAUGGAAGUAGGAUGAUUUUCCCCCUCGGGCAGGAUAAAGUCCCUUUAUAUUCUCGUCUUCUGUGCUCUUUUUUAGAGAGCACAUAUUUCAUCAUAAGUGUCGCACCUUCAGGAAAAAAGUGUCCCAUCAUUCUUAGAAGACUGUUGUUUCCUUAAAUGUUAGAAGGAAUGAGGUCACACAUCAGGUCCAUGGUGGCUGCUCUUUGUUUAAUGUUUGGUAAUGCAUUUGUCUUAAGGUCAAAUGGAAUUAUUACCAGAACCCUGCUGAAAUAUGAAUGGCAAAUGGAAAAGUGGCAAAAACAAGAAUGGGAAACAGAAGAAUGUUGGAAGUAUCUUAGGAAUAAUAAGAAAUAAUUUAAAAUUUGCUGAGUCCUAUGAAACAUUUUAGAUAAGUAGGAAGAAUAGUUCCAUCUUCUGAGAGUCUUACCUCCAAUUUGUUUCAGAGUAAUAUAAAAUGAAAUAUUUACAUAUUGUUUCUAAAUAGAAUGGAAAUCUUUAUAGCCCUUCUAUGGGAGGAUGAUAUCAGACCCUAUAUAACUACAAUGCAAUGCCACUUCAUACCCACCAAGAAGACUAUAAUCAAAAAGACAAACAAUGGAAGUGUUGGCAAGGAUGUAAAGAAAUUGGAACCUUUAUAGCUCAUGGGAAUGUGAAAUACUGCAGUCACUUUGGAAGACAAUUUGGCAGUUCCUCAAAGAACAUAGAAUUAUAUGACCCAGUAAUUCCAUCUCUAACAUUUACUUAAGAGAAUUGAAAACAUAUGUCCACCCACACAAAAAUUUGUGCAUGAACAUUCAUAAAAGCAUCAUUCAUAAUAGCCCCAAAGCAGAAAACCCAAGUAUCCACUAAUUAAAGAAUGGAUAAACAAAAUAUGGUAUAUCUAUACAAUGGAACAUUAUUCAGUCAUAAAGAGUAAUAAAAUAUGCUACAACAUGGAUGAACCUUAAAAACAUGAUGCUGCAUGAAAGAAGCCAGGCAUAAAAGGCCAGAUAUUACAUAAUUCCAUUUAUAUUAAAUAUACAGAUUAGGCAAAUAUAAAA